AACACAGAAGCAUGACUACAAUGACUCAACAAAUGGAAAAACGCUUCAUCAUGAAAUCGUAUUGUUCUUUACAAAGGAGCACUCUGAGAAACCACGCCGUGCCGGUGUCGUACCGACACCUGUCCCACCCAAGAGGGGUCAGCUCCGGCGUCCCGUGGCAGAAACACUUUCUCUGUGUAGCGCUAGAUGUUUGCAUCAACUUUAAUAUCGGACCAUUUCUUUUUAAUUUGGGCCAUGGUCUGACCUCUGAGGCUGUGGCAUUAACUGUGUCUGCAACAUGUACAGUAUGUCACUCUACAGCUUUUGUGGCUAUAGUAAUGCCCACACUGUGCCCUCCAAACAUAUUUUCCUCUUUUACACCCCUCUAACAAGAACUGCAACUUAUCUACAAUC